rnacentral:rRNA from 1 species
UACAGAGACUGCAAGCGUUAUUCGGAUUCACUGGGCGUAAAGGGUGCGCAGGCGGCCAAGUGUGUUAGGCGUGAAAGCCCGGGGCUUAACCCCGGAAUUGCACCUAAAACUACAUGGCUAGAGCAUUGGAGAGGGUAGCAGAAUUCACGGUGUAGCAGUGAAAUGCGUAGAUAUCGUGAGGAAUACCAGAGGCGAAGGCGGCUACCUGGACAAUUGCUGACGCUCAGGCACGAAAGCGUGGGGAGCGAAAGCA